rnacentral:tRNA from 1 species
GUUGUGGCUCAGGGGUAGAGUGCUUGCCUAGCAUGCACGAGAUUCUGGGUUCGAUCCUUGGAACAACG